GCGGGAGUAGUUCAGUGGUGGAACGCGAGCUUCCCAAGCUCGAUGUCGCGGGUUCGAGUCCCGUCUCCCGCUCCA
rnacentral:tRNA from 1 species